GACGAACCAUGCGAACGUUGUUCGGAAUCACUGGGCUUAAAGGGCGCGUAGGCGGGCUGACAAGUCUGGGGUGAAAUGCCACGGCUCAACCGUGGAACUGCCUCAGAUACUGUCGGCCUCGAGGAAGGUAGGGGCAUGCGGAACUGUAGGUGGAGCGGUGAAAUGCGUUGAUAUCUACAGGAACUCCGGUGGCGAAAGCGGCGUGCUGGACCUUUUCUGACGCUGAGGCGCGAAAGCUAGGGGAGCAAACGGG
rnacentral:rRNA from 1 species